UACGGAGGGUGCAAGCAUUAAUCGGAUUUAUUGGGCGUAAAGGGCGCGUAGGCGGAAGGGAAAGUCAGAUGUGAAAUACCGGGGCUCAACCUCGGAGCUGCAUUUGAAACUUCCCAUCUAGAGGGUAGGAGGAGAAAACGGAAUUCCACAAGUAGCGGUGAAAUGCGUAGAUAUGUGGAAGAACACCGGUGGCGAAGGCAAUCCCCUGGGCCUGCACUGACGCUCAUGCACGAAAGCGUGGGGAGCAAACAGG
rnacentral:rRNA from 1 species